rnacentral:rRNA from 1 species
GGCGGACGGGUGAGUAAUACUUAGGAAUCUGCCCAUUAUGGGGGACAACUCGAGGAAACUCGAGCUAAUACCGCAUACGCCCUACGGGGGAAAGCGGAGGACCUUUCGGGGCUUCGCGCUAAUGGAUGAGCCUAAGUCGGAUUAGCUUGUUGGUGAGGUAAAGGCUCACCAAGGCGACGAUCCGUAGCUGGUCUGAGAGGACGAUCAGCCACACUGGGACUGAGACACGGCCCAG